rnacentral:tRNA from 1 species
GCGCCUGUAGCUCAGCUGGACAGAGCAGCUGCCUUCUAAGCAGUCGGUCGGGAGUUCGAGUCUCCCCAGGCGCU